GGGGCCGCCCCGCCUGCGCUCCCGCGGGCAGCCGGGAGCCGUAGUUCUGCUCCGGGCGCUCCGACUACAACUCCCGAGAGCCCAAGGGCAGCCCACGACGACACCCAGGCCCGUCCUGGCUCGGAGGUGCAGGACACACAAACUCUGCUGACUUUGCCCCUGGUGAGCUCAGAGAGAGACUUUGAAAACUCUGGUUAAGUGAGUUUUCAGGGCAACACAUUGCAACAUUUACUGCAACGGGCUGGAGUUGCACAGUACUGAAUACUGGGGAGAAACCUCCGCUCUUCUGUGGCCCUAUCCCAAUUUUCCAAGGAUUUUAGCAGGAAUCGUUCUUUGCCCACUGGAUGUCGCUGUUCCACAGAAAUAUUCAUGGACUAUUCCUUCAGCACCUUCUGUCAGCCAUGGAAGCCUCUCCAGAGUCAGCCAGGCUAUGUGGAUUUAUCCCUGUGAAGCUGCCUUUUUUCCUCCAAAAGAAAUCUCCUUAAUAUUUUGCACCUUCAAGACAUGGCACAUGGAAAACUUGGGCCACUUGAUCCCUUUGUGAUGUUCUCUGAAGGUGAACAUUUCAUGGGAUAAAAAUAUAUUGGAGGGAUAAAAAUAUAUUGGUGAUUGAGGGGAAAACAGGCUGCCCAAAAUAUGUUUUCAGGACAUACAGAGAAAAAUAAUCCCCUUACUGUUUUGCAUGCUUAAUACAGGGAAAAAAAUUAGUUUGGAGGAUCCUCUCCUUAAAAGCAGAAGUGGCAGCAGGAGCCACUGAUGUUGCCUUUGGAGGCAAUGACCUGGAUAAAGCAGCAAAGAUGAGUAUGCUCACACUUUUCAGGGAAAAAUCAAUGAUAUUUAUAGCUCAGCUCAGUCUCAGAACAAAGCAAAGUGACCUACAUCUCUCCAGUGCCCAGCUUUGGGAAUUAACUUUGAGGAAAUUCAGUUCCACAUUUAGGUCUCUCUCCUCUGAAGCAAAUGGAACCACAGCUUAAUAGAAUUUAAGCCCAAAGGGGAUUCCUCUUUAUUCCCUCCCAGCAGUUUUUAGCACUGAAAACAACUGGAAAAUGUAGCAAAAAGAAUAAUUAAGGGUAGGAGGACCUGGCAGGUGACUGACCCUAUGUGGGAUAAUCACCUGUGCCAGCAGUUCUGCUCUUUGAGGGGCUCUUCCCCCUGUGGCUGCUCCACACAAUAUCUAAGGCAGGAUUCCUCCAAUGCUCAGCAUCACUGAAAAAUCAGGAAAACUGUAUCAGUGUUCUGGCCUUUGCUGGGUGUCCCAGCAAUGCCAGCUGGAAAACUGGCUGAAUUCUGGGAUGGCUGUGCCCAAAUCCCAAGAUUUUGUGGAGGAGUCUAAUAGAGAAAAGAAACUGGUAAUAAAUUGCUAAAUAUCAAGUUCUGUGCCAGCACUCUGCCCACUUCCCCAGAAGCACAUAUGAAAAAAAAAAAAAAAAGAAAAAAGAAAAAAGAAAGAAAAUUCCCAUUAAGUUAUUUCAUGUGUUUCUGACUGUGGGGUUAAAGGAUUUCAAAAUCAGAAAUGUCUUCUCAGCCUUCCCUCUUUAAUAUGGUUUAUUUGUUGCACUGGAGGAGCACAGCAUAUGGAAUUCUGUCCAAUUCAAACAGGCAAGGGAAGCCUGUCCAUGGUUCUAUAAUUAGCUGGUGGUAGUGACAGCAGGCAUCUUGGCUUCUUUAUUAUUUUAAAAUUCUCAGCACUGUGCAGUGGAUGAUUUUCUACCAGCCUGGAAUGCUAAUGGGUGGGAAAGCCUGGGAGCAGAGCAGCAUCCUACUGCAUUGACAGAGCCUUCAAAAUCCCAAAGUGAUCGUGAAAUCAGUGGGAUCACACCAGCCCUGAACCUGGGCCCAGCCACAGAGUACACAAGGCAACCAAUCCUCCAUUUUUAAAUUUUUUUCCCCUCUGCUGCUACAGUUAUUUAAGCAACUCACUCAUGUACCUGAGUCGAGGCCUGUGUGGCUGUAAAUUAAUAUUUGGCUUUGUUCCUGGGGAACUGGGUACUUGUGCCUCCCUGUCUGUGGUGCACACACAAGGAUUUUAUGAAUGGUGCUUGUGAUAAAUGUAACCUUGGAUAAAAAAAUUCGUGAAAGAAU